rnacentral:rRNA from 1 species
GACGUAGGUGGCGAACGUUAUCCGGAAUUAUUGGGCGUAAAGGAUGCGUAGAUGGUGUAGUAAGUUAUCGGUGGCAAAUCGAGGCUCAACCUCGUGGAAGUCGGUAAUACUGCUAUGCUAGAGGAUAGGAGAGGUUAACGGAACUCCCUGUGGAGCGGUGAAAUGCGUAGAUAUAGGGAAGAACACCAAUAAGGCGAAGGCAGUUAACUAUUCUAUUCCUGACAUUGAGGCAUGAAAGCGUGGGGAGCAAAACGGG